rnacentral:lncRNA from 1 species
UCAUAUUUGGGUGAUUAGUCAACACAAGGGAAUGGCUUGAGGUACUUCUAACAUGUUCAAAUGGGGUCUAUUCAUCAGUCAAAACGUUAAUCUUGAAGGAGCAAAAGUUUGUUCAUGAGCUGUCAUGCUCGCUAGGCGAGCAGAAUGGGUCGCCUAGCGAGUCCUAAAAAAGCCACCAGAAUCACCUACGCUCAGAGGAAUUUCUUGAACUGUCAUGCUCGCUAGGCGAAG